CAGAGGAUAUGUGCGGUGGCACGUGCCUGUAACCUCAGCUCUUGGGAGGCUGAGGCAGGAGGAU
rnacentral:miRNA from 1 species